GGCUUAACCUUGGGACUGCGUUCAAUACGUUUAGACUUGAGUUCGGAAGAGGGUCGUGGAAUUCCCAGUGUAGAGGUGAAAUUCGUAGAUAUGUGGAAGAACACCGGUGGCGAAAGCGGCGACCUGGUCCGAAACUGACGCUGAGGCGCGAGAGCAAGGGGAUCAAACAGGAUUAGAUACCCUGGUAGUCCUUGCCGUAAACGAUGCAUACUUGAUGUAGAUGGGCUCAACCCUGUCUGUGUCGAAGCUAACGCGAUAAGUAUGCCGCCUGGGGAGUACGCUCGCAAGAGUGAAACUCAAAAGAAUUGACGGGGGCCCGCACAAGCAGUGGAGCAUGUGGUUUAAUUCGAUGCAACGCGAAGAACCUUACC
rnacentral:rRNA from 1 species